AAAAAAAACAAACCUGGUUUUCAUGUCCAAUGUUUGACUAUUUAUUUUAUAUUAAUUUUUUUUAUAAUUAGUAUUUUUAUUAUUGUUAGAUGAUAAAACAUGAUUAAUACUUUAUGUGUGAUUUAUCUUUUUAAUUUUUACAAAUCAGACGAAUGGUCAAACAUGAUACGGAAACCCAGGGUUUAUCUUUUU
rnacentral:pre_miRNA from 1 species